CCUACGGGAGGCAGCAGUGAGGAAUAUUGGUCAAUGGGCGAGAGCCUGAACCAGCCAAGUCGCGUGAGGGAGUACUGCCCUAUGGGUUGUAAACCUCUUUUGUCGGGGAGCAAAAGCCGGACGUGUCCGGCUGUGAGAGUACCCGAAGAAAAAGCAUCGGCUAACUCCGUGCCAGCAGCCGCGGUAAUACGGAGGAUGCGAGCGUUAUCCGGAUUUAUUGGGUUUAAAGGGUGCGCAGGCGGAUUUUUAAGUCAGCGGUAAAAUCGUGGGGCUCAACCCCGUCCAGCCGUUGAAACUGGGGAUCUAGAGUGUGCGAGAGGUAUGCGGAAUGCGUGGUGUAGCGGUGAAAUGCAUAGAUAUCACGCAGAACCCCGAUUGCGAAGGCAGCAUACCGGUGCACAACUGACGCUCAGGCACGAAAGCGUGGGUAUCGAACAGGAUUAGAUACCCUUGUAGUC
rnacentral:rRNA from 1 species